rnacentral:rRNA from 1 species
GUUGUAUGGUUAAGUGACUAAGCGUACAUGGUGGAUGCCUUGGCAGUCAGAGGCGAUGAAGGACGUACUAACCUGCGAUAAGCUGUGAGAAGUCGGUAAGAGACGCUAUUACUCACAGAUUUCCGAAUGGGGAAACCCACCCGAGAUAACUCGGGUAUCUGUUACUGAAUACAUAGGUAACAGAGGCGAACCGGGAGAACUGAAACAUCUAAGUACCCCGAGGAAAAGAAAUCAACCGAGAUUCCCUCAGUAGCGGCGAGCGAACGGGGAUUAGCCCUUAAGCAUCUUGGAAGUUAGUGGAACGGUCCUGGAAAGGCCGGCGAUACAGGGUGAUAGCCCCGUACACGAAAACAACCUUGAUGUGAAAUCGAGUAGGGCGGGACACGUGACAUCCUGUCUGAAUAUGGGGGGACCAUCCUCCAAGGCUAAAUACUCCUGACUGACCGAUAGUGAACCAGUACCGUGAGGGAAAGGCGAAAAGAACCCCUGUGAGGGGAGUGAAAUAGAACCUGAAACCGUGUACGUACAAGCAGUGGGAGCCCUUCGGGGUGACUGCGUACCUUUUGUAUAAUGGGUCAGCGACUUACAUUUUGUAGCGAGGUUAACCGUAUAGGGGAGCCGUAGGGAAACCGAGUCUUAACUGGGCGUCUAGUUGCAAGGUGUAGACCCGAAACCGGGUGAUCUAGCCAUGGGCAGGUUGAAGGUUGAGUAACAUCAACUGGAGGACCGAACCCACUAACGUUGCAAAGUUAGGGGAUGACCUGUGGCUGGGGGUGAAAGGCCAAUCAAACUCGGAGAUAGCUGGUUCUCCCCGAAAGCUAUUUAGGUAGCGCCUCGGACGAAUACUACUGGGGGUAGAGCACUGUUUGGGCUAGGGGGUCAUCCCGACUUACCAACCCCAUGCAAACUCCGAAUACCAGUAAGUAAUAUCCGGGAGACACACGGCGGGUGCUAACGUCCGUCGUGAAGAGGGAAACAACCCAGACCGCCGGCUAAGGUCCCAAAGUUCUGGUUAAGUGGGAAACGAUGUGGGAAGGCUCAGACAGCUAGGAUGUUGGCUUAGAAGCAGCCAUCAUUUAAAGAAAGCGUAAUAGCUCACUAGUCGAGUCGGCCUGCGCGGAAGAUGUAACGGGGCUCAAACCAGGCACCGAAGCCGCGGAUUCACACUUAUGUGUGAGUGGUAGGGGAGCGUUCUGUAAGUCUGCGAAGGUGUAUCGAGAGGUAUGCUGGAGAUAUCAGAAGUGCGAAUGCUGACGUAAGUAACGAUAAAGGGGGUGAAAAGCCUCCUCGCCGGAAGACCAAGGGUUCCUGUCCAACGUUAAUCGGGGCAGGGUGAGUCGACCCCUAAGGCGAGGCCGAAAGGCGUAGUCGAUGGGAAGCAGGUUAAUAUUCCUGCACGACUUGUAAUUGCGAUGGGGGGACGGAGAAGGCUAGGUGGGCCAGGCGACGGUUGUCCUGGUGAAAGUGCGUAGGUGGUGUUUCUAGGCAAAUCCGGAGACACAACACUGAGACACGAGACGAACACACUACGGUGUGGAAGCCAUUGAUGCCCUGCUUCCAGGAAAAGCCUCUAAGCUUCAGAUUACAAGUCAUCGUACCCCAAACCGACACAGGUGGUCGGGUAGAGAAUACCAAGGCGCUUGAGAGAACUCGGGUGAAGGAACUAGGCAAAAUAGAACCGUAACUUCGGGAGAAGGUUCGCUCUUGAUGGUGAAGUCCCUUGCGGAUGGAGCUGUCGGGAGUCGCAGUGACCAGAUGGCUGGGACUGUUUAUCAAAAACACAGCACUCUGCAAACACGAAAGUGGACGUAUAGGGUGUGACACCUGCCCGGUGCCGGAAGGUUAAUUGAUGGGGUUAGCGCAAGCGAAGCUCUUGAUCGAAGCCCCGGUAAACGGCGGCCGUAACUAUAACGGUCCUAAGGUAGCGAAAUUCCUUGUCGGGUAAGUUCCGACCUGCACGAAUGGUGUAACCAUGGCCAUGCUGUCUCCACCCGAGACUCAGUGAAAUCGAAUUCGCCGUGAAGAUGCGGUGUACCCGCGGCUAGACGGAAAGACCCCGUGAACCUUUACUACAGCUUGGCACUGAACAUUGAACCUACAUGUGUAGGAUAGGUGGGAGGCUUUGAAGGCGUGACGCCAGUUGCGCUGGAGCCGUCCUUGAAAUACCACCCUUGUAUGUUUGAUGUUCUAACGCAGGGCCCUGAAUCGGGCUCGCGGACAGUGCCUGGUGGGUAGUUUGACUGGGGCGGUCUCCUCCCAAAGAGUAACGGAGGAGCACGAAGGUUGGCUAAUCCUGGUCGGACAUCAGGAGGUUAGUGCAAUGGCAUAAGCCAGCUUAACUGCGAGACGGACAGGUCGAGCAGGUACGAAAGUAGGUCAUAGUGAUCCGGUGGUUCUGAAUGGAAGGGCCAUCGCUCAACGGAUAAAAGGUACUCCGGGGAUAACAGGCUGAUACCGCCCAAGAGUUCAUAUCGACGGCGGUGUUUGGCACCUCGAUGUCGGCUCAUCACAUCCUGGGGCUGAAGUCGGUCCCAAGGGUAUGGCUGUUCGCCAUUUAAAGUGGUACGCGAGCUGGGUUCAGAACGUCGUGAGACAGUUCGGUCCCUAUCUGCCGUGGGCGUUGGAUGAUUGAAGGGAGUUGCUCCUAGUACGAGAGGACCGGAGUGAACGAACCUCUGGUGUUCGGGUUGUCACGCCAGUGGCACUGCCCGGUAGCUAAGUUCGGAAUCGAUAACCGCUGAAAGCAUCUAAGCGGGAAGCGAGCCCUGAGAUGAGUCAUCCCUGACCCCUUGAGGGUCCUAAAGGGCCGUUGGAGACCACAACGUUGAUAGGUGGGGUGUGUAAGCGCGGCGACGUGUUGAGCUAACCCAUACUAAUUACCCGUGAGGCUUAACCAUACAACACCCAAGAAGUGUU